rnacentral:rRNA from 1 species
GAUCAAGUUAUCAAGGGCACACGGUGGAUGCCUUGGCGAUGAGAGGCGAAGAAGGACGUGGACAGCUGCGAUAAGCUGAGGGGAGCCGCUCACAGGCUAUGAUCCUCAGAUCUCCGAAUGGGGCAACCCACCAGUCAGCGAUGGCUGGUAUCCUGAUGCUGAAUUCAUAGGCGUCAGGGAGCGAACCCGGGGAAGUGAAACAUCUCAGUACCCGGAGGAAAAGAAGACAAGACAGUGACUCCCCUAGUAGCGGCGAGCGAACGGGGAAGAGGCCAAACCGGAAGUAGUGAUACUCCCGGGGUUGUAGGGCCUGCGAUAUCGCAUUCGAAGUCGCGAGCGAAACAGACUUGGAACGGUCGGCCAUAGAGGGUGACAGCCCCUUUCGCGAAGUGACGACGAGCGUAGCAGGUACCUGAGUACCGCAGGACACGUGUAAUCCAGCGGGAAUCCGGCGGGACCAUCCGCCAAGCCUAAGUACUCCUCAUCGACCGAUAGUGAACAAGUACCGUGAGGGGAAAGGUGAAAAGCACCCCGGAAGGGGAGUGAAAUAGAACCUGAAACCGUGUUUGCCUACAAGCACUGAGAGCACUAUGCCGCAAGGCAGUGUGAUCGGGUACCUUUUGCAUAAUGGGCCUGCGAGUUGCGUUUUGUGGCGAGGUUAAGCCGAAGAGGUGGAGCCGUAGCGAAAGCGAGUCCGAACAGGGCGACAGUCGCAGGACGCAGACCCGAAGCCCGGCGAUCUAUCCAUGUCCAGGAUGAAACGCGGGUAAUACCGCGCGGAGGUCCGAACCCACUCUAGUUGAAAAUAGAGGGGAUGAGGUGUGGAUAGGAGUGAAAGGCUAAUCAAGCCGGGGGAUAGCUGGUUCUCCCCGAAAUAUAUUGAGGUAUAGCCUCGAGUGAACGCCCACGGGGGUAGAGCACUGAAUGGGCUAGGGGUCUUACCGGACUACCAAACCCAAUCAAACUCCGAAUACCGUGGAGCGCUGCUCGGGAGUCAGGCAGCGGGAGAUAAGUUUCGUUGCCGAGAGGGAAAGAGCCCAGAUCGUCAGCUAAGGUCCCAAAAUCCGCGCUUAGUGUUAAAGGAUGUGGAAACGCCCUGACAGCCAGGAGGUUGGCUUAGAAGCAGCCAUCCUUCAAAGAAAGCGUAAUAGCUCACUGGUCAAGCGAGUCCGCGCCGAAAAUGUAACGGGGCUCAAGCGUGGUACCGAAGCUACGGGAUUGGUAAUACAAUCGGUAGGGGAGUAUUCUGACGGAGAUACGCGGUGUACCGACAAGGAGCACUAACGGCCGUCAGAAGAGCUUAUGCAGGCAUGAGUAGCGAUAAACCGGGUCAAAAACCCGGUCGCCGUAAGCCCAAGGUUUCCUGGGGAAGGAUAAGCCUCCCAUGGGUUAGUCGGGACCUAAGUCGAGGCCGAGAGGCGUAGACGAUGGCAAGCUGGUUAAUAUUCCAGCACCGCGGUGGUACUUUAGCAGAGCAGGGACGGAGAAGGAUAGGCCAGUCCAUCUGUUGGAUCAGGUGGUUCAAGCCCGUAGGCAGCUCCCAUAGGACCCGACAGGGACAAACGUGGGGCACGAUGCCGAGAUGUGAUGAGGUGAGCCUUCGGGCUCGCAACCUGGUGAUUCCACGCUUCCAAGAAAAGCUGCGCUGUGUGGUGCUACUGUGCCCGUACCGCAAACCGACUCAGGUGGGCGGGAAGAAUAUUCCAAGGCGCGUGAGAGAACCCUGGUUAAGGAACUCGGCAAACUGACUCCGUAACUUCGGGAGAAGGAGUGCCUGCUGGCGUCAGCCACCUCGCGUGGUGAAGCGUCGGCGGGUCGCAGUGAAACGGGGGUUGCGACUGUUUAACAAAAACACAGGACUGUGCGAACUCGUAAGAGGACGUAUACGGUCUGACGCCUGCCCGGUGCCGGAAGGUUAAGGGGAGUUGUCAGCGAAAGCGAAGCAGCGAACCGAAGCCCCGGUAAACGGCGGCCGUAACUAUAACGGUCCUAAGGUAGCGAAAUUCCUUGUCGGGUAAGUUCCGACCUGCACGAAUGGCGUAACGACAUCCCCGCUGUCUCGACCAGGGACUCAGCGAAAUUGUCCUGGGGGUGAAGAUACCCUCUACCCGCAGCAAGACGGAAAGACCCCAUGAACCUUUACUGUAACUUGGCAGUGAGUUUCGGAUCGUUUUGCGUAGGAUAGGUGGGAGGCAAUGAGGCCGGGCUUCUGGGUUCGGCGGAGCCAACGUUGAAAUACCACCCUGAACGAUCUGGGAUUCUAACCUGGACCCCUCUACGGGGUUGGGGACACUGCCUGGUGGGCAGUUUGACUGGGGCGGUCGCCUCCUAAAUUGUAACGGAGGCGCACGAAGGUCACCUCAGGCUGAUUGGAAACCAGCCGUAGCGUGCAAAGGCAUAAGGUGGCUUGACUGCGAGACCGACAGGUCGAGCAGGUGCGAAAGCAGGUCUUAGUGAUCCGGUGGUCCCGUAUGGAAGGGCCAUCGCUCAUCGGAUAAAAGGUACUCUGGGGAUAACAGGCUGAUCACGCCUGAGAGUUCACAUCGGCGGCGUGGUUUGGCACCUCGAUGUCGGCCCAUCGCAUCCUGGGGCUGGAGCAGGUCCCAAGGGUUCGGCUGUUCGCCGAUUAAAGCGGUACGCGAGCUGGGUUCAGAACGUCGUGAGACAGUUCGGUCCCUAUCUGCUGUGGGCGUAGGAGACUUGAGAGGAUCUAUCCAUAGUACGAGAGGACCUGGAUGGACGUACCCCUGGUGUGCGGGUUGUUCUGCCAAGAGCAUAGCCCGGUAGCCAUGUACGGAACGGAUAAUCGCUGAAAGCAUCUAAGCGAGAAGCCGACCUCAAGAUGAGGUCUCCCUAUCAGACUCCACGUAGACCACGUGGUUGAUAGGCUGGACGUGGAAGCGCCGCAAUGCGCGUAGCGGACCAGUACUAAUAUGUCGACCGACUUGAUCGU